UUUUCCUCUCCUGCUACUAACCAAAAAAAUCCAGAGAGGAACCAAAAAUCAGAGAGAAAUUGAGAGACAUCCAAGAUCAACUACUCUAGAUUGAUUGAAACUAGAAACUGAUUUAGAUUUUGUAAACCUAAAGUGAUUAAAAACCCACUUUAUAGAAGUACAGAAAAAAAAAAAUUAACUCUUAGAAGAAGAAGAUUGAAUUCGUGGAAUCAAUUUCCUAGAAGUUCUAUAAGAAGAAGAUUGAAGUACAAAUAUUUGAAGAUUCAGUAGAAUGGAACCAAGUCGAAGCGGUUCUGAUCCUUCUCGUUCAGCUACUACGUCAUCCCAGAAAACCGUAGCCAGCAAAGGGAAUAAGCCGAAGUACCUUAUCACUGUCAAUUUUGCUGGCAAGGUCAUAGGAGAUAAGAUUGCUACUGGGAGAUUUGCUACUAGGGUUGAGAGCUCAUACGGAGUCGCGUUCCUAUAUCACACAAGGAGUGGAGGUGUGUGCCGGACAAUUUUAAAGAUGACGUGUGGACUGCUUUGAAGAUGAAUAACCACUUCCAGAACUCACUCCAGAAAUCUGGGAAAGUGCAAGAGCAGAUGUUCCACUUGGGAUUGGCCCAUAUAUCUGGGAGGAAUUUGUAGAUAUGGAGAAGAAUCCUGAAAAGAUAGCAAAGAAUAAGGUGAAUGCAGAGAGCAAAGCAAUGCAAACUGUCCACCAUACACUUGGGAGAUGCACAUACCGUAACAAGAAGCAUAAGUUAGAUGAACCUGCAGGCGAAGAAGUGGUACCACCUUCUACUACAGAGAAAUGGUUAUAUGGACAUGUAAGACGUGACGGGAGUGUCCAUCCUAGUGCAGUUGAAAGCUAGAACAAAGUAAGUGAGGUUUAUGAAAGGAACAAAGCAAAAGGAAAGCAUCCCAGCACUAGUAAUGUGAUUUCAGAUGAACUUGAGGAGAUGUUUGGAAAAAAACAAAAUGGUGGUAUUCGUGGCUACUCAUCUCAUAUGUCAAAGAAGCAAGUUGAAAUGGCAGCAAUUGGAGUUGCUGCCCUUCACCAAAUAGAUGACGAAAAUGCACUUAAACUAAGCAAAAUUGAAGCUGAAUUGGGGUCCUUGGGCAGCGCAGUGAAGGAGAUUUUGAACUGCAUGAAACGCAAGCAACCUACAUCAUCAGCUCGUGUAGGCACUCCCAGCCCAGAAAAAAGGUUCAAUUCUCUUUUUGGUCACCCAAGUGAUGAUAGCCUGGAUCAUGCCGAUAGUUUAAGUAAUGAGACUCCUUCCUUGCAAGUUGAAAUGCUAGAUAAUAGAGGAAAAGUUGUUGCAUCAGAGUGUAUCGCUGGCGGCGAUAUUUGUCAUUCUAGAAAGGUGAUGCCAACAGAGAAGAGGGUUCUUAUCGAGCAAGUGCAUGAUCAGUCUGCGUUAGUAUGGGAUGCACCACAAGGAAAUGGAUGGGUGCAUUUGAGGGACCUAGAAAUGCCUGCUUGGGUGGUCUGGUCUGCAGAUAGGUUGCAAUCGGUGCCAAUCAAGAAGUAAUAUAUUCCUAGUUUGAUUCUUUUUUGCGUUCUUUUGCUCAAUAGUGACAGGUUCAACACAAGCAUAGCAACCCAGUUGGCACUGAACAGUAGUAUUUCCUUCUUUCUUUUUUUGUUCUUUUUUGUUAUUUCGGCUAUAUUUUUUACUUUUGUGCAGCAAGGACAGGUUCGACACUAGCACAUGGAAAAUUCCACUUGUUGCAUCUAAGAAUUUUCUUGUUAGUGUCCUUUUUUGUUUGUUUCAGCCUUAGUUGUGUUGUCUAGCACAAUGAGGAUAGGUUUUUUUGGGGGUCUGUAACUGCCUAUAUUUACUCAAUAUAAUAUAUCUUAUUAAUUUGGUGUUUGACCAAAACCUUUUUAACUCCGCCAAUGCUUGCACUGCCGGUCCCAAG